GGGGAAUUAGCUCAGUUGGCUAGAGCGGUUGGUUCGCAAUCAACAGGCCAGGGGUUCGAAUCCCCUAUUCUCCA
rnacentral:tRNA from 2 species